GGGAAUGUGGCUUAGUGGUAGAGCGCUUGCCUAACAUGCAUGAAGCCCUGGGUUCGAUCCCUCAGUACUA
rfam:Dipodomys ordii contig_54649, whole genome shotgun sequence.